rnacentral:rRNA from 1 species
UACAGAGGUCUCAAGCGUUGUUCGGAUUCAUUGGGCGUAAAGGGUGCGUAGGCGGCAAGGCAAGUCAGGUGUGAAAUCCCGGAGCUCAACCCGACCGUAGCACUUGAUACUGCCCUGCUAGAGUACUGGAGAGGAGACUGGAAUUUACGGUGUAGCAGUGAAAUGCGUAGAUAUCGUAAGGAAGACCAGUGGCGAAGGCGGGUCUCUGGACAGUUCCUGACACUGAGACACGAAGGCCAGGGGAGCAAACGGG